UCCGGAUGGGCACGACCCGCCGCCCGCUCUUAUGGAGAACCCUGCAGCCGCUGCAGAUGAAGAGAGGGGCGCACUGGGGGUUACAGUGGACGGAAGCCGCCGAGGAACAACCCCGGGACCGGCGCGAGCUCUACUCAAGGAGGAGCAGUCGCUUUCCCUUACUUCUGCCGUGGCUCAGGGGCCGUUGGGCCCCUAGGGAGGGACAGUCCGUUGAUUGGUUGCUCCCGCCCACGCCAGUGAUGACAUGCUGUUAUUGAAUUGAAUCUGGUGUGAGUGUUGCCACUGAUUCUCAGCACCCUGCUUUUCUUCUCUCUCUGUUUGGACAGAAGAAAGCCUGACAGUUUUCCUGUUUGACUUCAGGCAUGUAUAUCACUUGGGCAGGCUCUCUUUGGAAUCUGUCAUACCACUUCUGAACUGAUGAAAGAUUUUUUUCCUCUCAGGGAUGUAGUAUGCAGACUUUUCCACACCCUUAGCAUGGGAAGUAAGCACGAGCCUGCUAAAUGGCGGUGCAGGGGUACAGAGUGUUCCCCACAUGACCAUUGUGCCAUAUACAAUGGGUGAAUAUAACGUAACUGAAUGAUAUGCUGUACAUCAUUUACUUA